rnacentral:rRNA from 1 species
AUUGAACGCUGGCGGCAGGCCUAACACAUGCAAGUCGAGCGGAGCGGCGGACGGGUGCGUAAUGCCUAGGAAUCUGCCUGGUCGUGGGGGAUAACGUCCGGAAAUGGGAGCUAAUACCGCAUCCUAUCAGAUGAGCCUAGGGCGGAUUAGCUAGUUGGGGGGGUAAAGGCCUACCAAGGCGACGAUCCGUAACUGGGCUGAGAGGAUGAUCAGCCACACUGGAACUGAGACACGGGCCAGACUCCUACGGGAGGCAGCAGUGGGGAAUAUUGGACAAUGGGCGCAAGCCUGAUGCAGCCAUGCCGCGUGUAGGAAGAAGGUCUUCGGGUUGUAAAGUACUUUCAGUGGGGAGGCGUUACCCACAGAAGAAGCACCGGCUAACUUCGUGCCAGCAGCCGCGGUAAUAC